GCUGCUUCGGUUCGAUCGGGAUACUCAUCAAAUAAUUUUCGAAAACCGGGGAAGUUUCCUCUGCCGAUGGCGGGCCACAUAAAGCCGUCAGGCCUAAGCUGCAAAGCCGGUGGAUUACAAAGACGGGGAGCACUCAAAUCAUUCUAUUCUCGGAGUUUCAUCACAUCGCCGCGGCAGCCCC
rnacentral:sRNA from 1 species